UUGACCUCAGAUCAGGUAGGAAUACCCGCUGAACUUAAGCAUAUCAAUAAGCGGAGGAAAAGAAACCAACAGGGAUUGCCCUAGUAACGGCGAGUGAAGCGGCAACAGCUCAAAUUUGAAAUCUGGCGCAAGCCCGAGUUGUAAUUUGUAGAGGAUGUUUCUGGCGACGCGCCUUCCGAGUUCCCUGGAACGGGACGCCAUAGAGGGUGAGAGCCCCGUACGGUUGGAUGCCUAGCCUCUGUGAAACUCCUUCGACGAGUCGAGUAGUUUGGGAAUGCUGCUCUAAAUGGGAGGUAUACGUCUUCUAAAGCUAAAUAUUGGCCAGAGACCGAUAGCGCACAAGUAGAGUGAUCGAAAGAUGAAAAGCACUUUGAAAAGAGGGUUAAAAAGUACGUGAAAUUGUUGAAAGGGAAGCGUUCAUGACCAGACUUGGGCAGGUUGAUCAUCCGUGGUUCUCCGCGGUGCACUCUGCCUGCCCAGGCCAGCAUCAGUUCGCUCCGGGGGAUAAAGGCUCCGGGAAUGUGGCUCCUCCGGGAGUGUUAUAGCCCGCUGCGUAAUACCCUGGGGUGGACUGAGGUUCGCGCACUGCAAGG
rnacentral:rRNA from 1 species